UACAGGGGGUGCAAGCGUUGCUCGGAAUCACUGGGCGUAAAGCGUACGCAGGCGGACCGUUAAGUCGGGUGUGAAAGCCCGGGGCUCAACCCCGGAACUGCAUUCGAUACUGGCGGUCUUGAAUACGGGAGAGGUGAGUGGAACUGCGAGUGUAGAGGUGAAAUUCGUAGAUAUUCGCAAGAACACCAGUGGCGAAGGCGGCUCACUGGCCCGAUACUGACGCUGAGGUGCGAAAGCGUGGGGAGCAAACAGG
rnacentral:rRNA from 1 species